UACGAAGGGGGCUAGCGUUGUUCGGAAUUACUGGGCGUAAAGCGUGCGUAGGUGGUUUGUUAAGUCUGAUGUGAAAGCCCUGGGCUCAACCUGGGAAUUGCAUUGGAUACUGGCAGGCUAGAGUGCGGUAGAGGAUGGCGGAAUUCCCGGUGUAGCAGUGAAAUGCGUAGAGAUCGGGAGGAACAUCUGUGGCGAAAGCGGUGCACUGGACCACAACUGACGCUGAGGCGCGAAAGCUAGGGGAGCAAACAGA
rnacentral:rRNA from 1 species